UCAGGGCUGAUAGGCGACUUCUGGUACUUUUAAUAUGUGUUUAGCUUUUGGUGUUGUUUUAUAUGUUUUCUUUGUGUCUUUAAAUAAAUGUCCUGUGCUUUGAGCGAGCUGGUUGGUCACUGGCAAAACAGCAUCCUCGGGGACAAAAGCAACACGUGCAGGCUGGACUUUGCCCAGAGAGAGGUGAUGGCUAGAAACCUGAGAGGGCUCUUCUGGAUCAGACCGUGGAGGGAGGAGUCAAAGGUCUUUCCGGUUGAUGGCUUCCAGCACUAUCAUGGUCACCUCCAGCGCAUAAUCCAUUGUGUAGUAUCCGAUCAAGAGGACAACUUCCCACACCCUGAAGGAUGAACUAACCAGUGGGAGGAUCAGACCCUGAUGCAGGAUGUUUCACGUCCCCUGGAACAGGAAAAAGAAAAGGUCUUUCCGGUUGAUGGCUUCCAGCACUAUCGUGGUCACCUCCAGUGCAUAAUCCAUUGUGUAGUGUCCAAUCAAGAGGACAACUCCCCACACCCUGAAGGAUGAACUAACCGGUGGGAGUAUCAGACACUGAUGCAGGAUGUUCCACGUCCCCUGGAAGACGAAAAAGCUAGAUGUUUGAUUCACUUUUUCUGAAUACUUGUCUGCUUAUGCUGCUCCUCUCACACCACAGCGGGCACUCUUAGCCAAUCAGAUCUGAAUCAGGCACAUGACCCUCUAGUUAAUUAUCUUCAGAGAUAGAUCUCUAUUGGUCUCCCAGAGACUACAGGUUUUCCUCACCCUAAUGGACAAAAAUCUACAAAAUACCUAUCUGAUUGGCUACUCUUCUCCAAUUCCCUACCUCCUGGGGAAAGGAGCCAACCCGAGUAGCUACACAUGCUGGGGGACAGCCCAGCCCCUCAAUCAGUGUAGCAGGCAGAGCUCUGCCAGUCUCUUCAAUGGGUGGACAAAUGGCUGAGGAGCAGCUCUAUAGCUUUGUGGCUUUUCCUGCUUCCCCAUCCCUUUGACGGCUCCUCCCACACUGAUAUCUCCACUGCCUGGUGUUACCUCAACUCCAUGAAUCCCCCCUGCCCUCGGGAAGGACCCUGUCUCAAAAGCCCAAUGAGGUUAAGCUGUCAAGGAGGAAAGGAGAAUUGACAAUUUCAGGAACAGCAGAUAGGUUGAAGGAUGAGGCUGGAGCAGAGAGACCCCAGGAUCUGAAGAGAAAGAGGUUAAGAGAGAUCCUAAUGAGAGCUGUUUCAAUGGAGUGAAAACACCAGGAGCCAGAGAAUAAUGGUCCAAGAUGGAACUUGAAAAGAGGAAUUUGAUCCAUUAGUUGUUGCCAGUCCAUUUGGUGAGUUUAGAGAUGGAGGCGAGGAGUGACAUGGGGCAGUAGCUGGAGAGGCAGGCAGGGUUGAGGGCUGGUGUUUGAUGAUAGGAGAGAGC